rnacentral:rRNA from 1 species
GGUGAACGCUGGCGGCAUGCCUAAUACAUGCAAGUCGAGCGAACGGACGAGAAGGCUGCCUCUCUGAUGUACGCGGCGGACGGGUGUGUAACAUGUGGAUAACAUACCUAUAAGACUGGGAUAAACUCGGGAAAACGGUGGUAAUACCCGCAUAUAUUCUGAACCGCAUAGUUCAGAAGUGAACGACGGCCUUCCUUCCACUUAUACCUGGUUCCGUACUGCAUUAGCUAGUUGGUAAGGUAACGCCUUACCAAGGCGACGCUCCAUCGCUGACCGGAGAGGCUGAACAGCCACACUGGAACUGAGACACGGUCCAGACUACUACGGGAGGCAGCAGUAGGGAAUCUUGCACAAUGGGCGCAAGCCUGAUGCAGCAAUGCCGCGUGGAUGAUGAAGGUCUUCGGGUCGUAAAAUCCUGUGACGAGGGAGGAAGAGAAUUAUAAGUAAGAAUUAGCUUAUUGACGGUAACGGAUGAAUAAGCCCCGGCUAACUACGUG